AAUUCUCAAAACCCCUUCCUUUGCCGGAAAGGAUUUUGGACUUGGAGGCCUUUUGCUGGUUUCACCUCGAAGCGAGCUCCUCCUAAAUGGAUUAGUGGGGUCUGCUUUGCCGAUCCUUGACGUGAUAAGAUGCUUCUACGUCUUUGGGUUUUGGCACUGUGCCUCUGCUUCUAAUCGUCUCAUCGACAACGAUGGUGUUCCGGUCACCGCCGAUUCUUCGGUUGGGAGGCUUGACCCACAAAACGA
rnacentral:misc_RNA from 1 species